AUAAGAAGGUGGCACUGUCUCUAUAACUGUCAUUUUACCUCAACUAAAUAAUCUCCUAUGACCAUUUACUAUCCUGCUUGUUUAGUUAAGAGAAACACAAUACCUGAUUACUGAUGUGGCUUCUAACAAAGGGUGAAAAGAGAGUUAAAGGCCUUUAUUUGAUUGAAAGUUUCCCUCUAUAGGUGCCCGAGUAAAAGGUCAUCCGCAUUUUAUUUCCAAUUUACUUAACGGUUAACACUUAGCUCCUAUUAUCUAAAGGAGAGUGAAUAUUGCUUCAAUCAACUACACGUGUCAAAUAGGCCACAGCGUCACCUGGUGAAUCCAACUGGUAUUGUACUUCAUUGAGUGAGUCUUAACCUAACACGGAGAGAACUGCAUUUACGUAAGGGCUACCUAAUUUAAUUGUCAUUAUUUGUCUGUUGUUCUGAUACCUUGACAACCGUCUGUAAGUGGUGACGUGACUCCUUUUAAAAUGACUUUUCUCAUCUUUCUAAUCUUUUUACUCACAAUUUAGCUAACAAAACUGCCCACAUUAGCUGUCAUCAUCACAUUUUACAUUAUAAUUUUCCAAAACAAUUUUCACCACCCUUAAGAUCCAAACAAGCCCAUUUCUCCCGUACACAGUCCAGUAAACAUGAAAUGAGAGUGCAGAUGUUCCUUCCUCUGGGAGCUGCUAGGCAACAACAGAUUCUCUCAGCCAGAACCGCUAUCUGACCACCAUCGCUCUGUUUGAACUGGAAUACAAACAACCCAAACAGAGGGGAAAAAAGAACAAGUGAUAGACAGGAUAAAUAAUGAUGCAACAGUACAACUUUGAGCAGGCAGACUUUUGAGCAUUGUUAGUGAAUGUUUCCUAAACAAGGAGGAACGAAACUUGACGUUUGCUAGCACUAGGGGGCAGUGGAGUAUCAUUUUGUAAAGACAGUGACAGGAGAGAAAAGUUUCUACAGGUACUGUAGGUCUGUCCUUGGGUUUUAAUUUUUUUAAUUUUUAAUUUAACCUUUAUUUAACUAGGCAAGUCAGUUAAAAACAAAUUCGUAUUUACAAUGAUGGCCUACCAGAAGGUAAAAGGCCUCCUGCGGAGACGGGGGCUGGGAUUAAAAAUAAAAAAUAAAAUAACAAUAUAGGACAAAAUGUAUGCGUCUUAGUAUCUACAGUUCAUCAUGCAUGGAAAAUAACCUUGGCUUAUAUGCUGGAGAGAGACUGUCGGCUGUUUUAAUCUUUGUUUACCUUUUAUUUUAUCAGGGAACUUGAUUGAGGAUGUAUUCACUUCUGCAACAUCGGGCUUAGGAAGAGUUGCAAGAAAGAGUGAUGUGUAUGAGCAGACCCGGCGCCAGAACGAAUCAGUUAUCAGUU
rnacentral:lncRNA from 1 species